AACGAACGCUGGCGGCAGACUUAACACAUGCAAGUCGAGCGAGACCUUCGGAUCUAGCGGCGGACGGGUGAGUAACGCGUGGGAACGUGCCCUUCUCUACGGAAUAGCCCCGGGAAACUGGGAGUAAUACCGUAUACGCCCUUUGGGGGAAAGAUUUAUCGGAGAAGGAUCGGCCCGCGUUGGAUUAGGUAGUUGGUGGGGUAAUGGCCCACCAAGCCGACGAUCCAUAGCUGGUUUGAGAGGAUGAUCAGCCACACUGGGACUGAGACACGGCCCAGACUCCUACGGGAGGCAGCAGUGGGGAAUCUUAGACAAUGGGGGCAACCCUGAUCUAGCCAUGCCGCGUGAGUGAUGAAGGCCUUAGGGUUGUAAAGCUCUUUCAGCUGGGAAGAUAAUGACGGUACCAGCAGAAGAAGCCCCGGCUAACUCCGUG
rnacentral:rRNA from 1 species